rnacentral:rRNA from 1 species
UACGUAGGCAGCAAGCGUUGUUCGGAGUUACUGGGCGUAAAGAGUGCGUAGGCGGUGCUCUAAGUUUGGUGUGAAAUCUCCCGGCUUAACUGGGAGGGUGCGCCGAAAACUGGAGUGCUUGAGUAUGGGAGAGGCAAGCGGAAUUCCUGGUGUAGCGGUGAAAUGCGUAGAUAUCAGGAGGAACACCGGUGGCGAAGGCGGGUCUCUGGGCCGAUACUGACGCUGAGGAGCGAAAGCGUGGGGAGCGAACAGG